GUUCGGAAAGAUGUCCUCUGACCUCCACAGGCUAUUAGAAGCAAAUCCAGGUUUACCUUUGUGUUAUACAGUGCUGGGAAGUCAAAACUCAUAAUCUCAUCAGCUUAUAAGCAAUGUAAUACAUCACAACCUGAGAUACGGAAAAAUAAAAGUGGUUAUACUGCCCAAUGUUGAAGCAGAUAAAGUGACAAGGACUUUAAAGUGUCACAGGCACAUCUGGAACACAUACAUCAACCUGAUGGAGCAUCGUCUCAUUGUUUUCUAAAUGUCUGAGU